rnacentral:rRNA from 1 species
UACGGGGGGGGUAAGCGUUGUUCGGAAUUACUGGGCGUAAAGGGCUCGUAGGCGGCCAACUAAGUCAGACGUGAAAUCCCUCGGCUUAACCGGGGAACUGCGUCUGAUACUGGAUGGCUGGAGUUUGGGAGAGGGAUGCGGAAUUCCAGGUGUAGCGGUGAAAUGCGUAGAUAUUCGGAAGAACACCAGUGGCGAAGGCGGCUCACUGGCCCGGUACUGACGCUGAAAUACGAAAGCGUGGGGAGCAAACAGG